CCGUGAUGAACUAACCGUCUGUCGCUGGGAAGAAGCUUAACUUGGGGGAAACUGCCUCGAAAAUAAAACUUAAAUAUAAAUAUGCCAUUCUUUAAUUUUAUUAUUAAAGUACUAAAAUAAAAUUAAAAUUAUUAAUUUUAGGAUAGUUUUGAUUUACAAAUUCUUGUAUUAAAUUAUUAGAAAUAGUAACUUUAAAUUAAAAAAACAAAAUUUUUUUACCAAAAAACAAUUAUGUUAAGAUAUUAUAGUAUCAGUUAACCCAUUUAAGUAACAAGUCUUCAAAAGUCAUAGCAAGGUAGAUUGUACUGGAA
rnacentral:rRNA from 1 species